rnacentral:lncRNA from 1 species
CAGCCUUCAGAGCUCCGUAAUGAAGUUGUAGCUCAAUCUCCAGAGCAUUAUAAGGAUUGAAUCUCCAGUCAGGCAACAGGCCACAGCUCAGACUCCAGAUCCCUCUAAGGAAGUAGAACUUUCUCCAGUCCCACAAGAGUUCCCAGCUGAGCCACCAGCGCCCCCUAAGGAGGCUGAACCAUCUGCAACCCAGCAGGAAGCCUCAGGUCGUCCUCCAAAGUCCACUGAAGAGGUCAGUCCUCCACCACAGCAGGAGAUACCAGCUCAGUCAUCAGAGCCACCUGAGAAGGUUGAACCAUCUCCAGUCCUACAGAAGGCCUCAACUCAGGUUUUAGAGCCACAUCCAAAGUAAUUAACUGGCUGGGCACGGUGGCUCAUGCCGGUAAUCCCAGUGCUUUGGGAGGCCAAGGCAGGUAGAUCACCUGGGGUCAAGAGUUCAAGACUAGCCUGGCCAACAUGGUGAAACCCCGUCUCUACUAAUACUACAAAAGUUAGCCGGGUGUGGUCAUGGGCACCUGUAAUCCCAACUACUCAGGAGGCUGAGGCAGGUGAAUCGCUGGAACCUGGGAGGCAGAGGUUGCAGUAAGCCGAGAUCGCACCACUGCACUCCAGCCUGGGCAGCAGAGCGAGACUCCGUCUCAAAAAACAAACAAACAAACAAAACAAAGUAACUAACUGGCAUUAUCUGUUCAAGAGAUUGGACAGAUAGGAAGUUAAACUUCCCGGAGAUGCCUCAUCAUUUGUGCCAGUGACCCCACAUUAUUUGUGCAAACUGGGAAGCUGAUAGCUAGUUUUUCCAAUUCAAGAGUCAUCAUGAGGAUGUUCUCAAUUGUUAUAAGUGGGACUUGUGUUGU